rnacentral:rRNA from 1 species
UACAGAGGAUGCAAGCGUUGUCCGGAUUUAUUGGGCGUAAAGAGCGUGUAGGCGGCUUUACAGGUCCGUUGUGAAAACUCGAGGCUCAACCUCGAGACGCCGGUGGAAACCGUAAAGCUAGAGUCCGGAAGAGGAGAGUGGAAUUCCUGGUGUAGCGGUGAAAUGCGCAGAUAUCAGGAAGAACACCCGUGGCGAAGGCGGCUCUCUGGGACGGUACUGACGCUGAGACGCGAAAGCGUGGGGAGCGAACAGG